UCCGGUUUGUCACCGGCAGUCUCCUUAGAGUGCCCACCAUUACGUGCUGGUAACUAAGGACAAGGGUUGCGCUCGUUACGGGACUUAACCCAACAUCUCACGACACGAGCUGACGACAGCCAUGCAGCACCUGUCUCACGGUUCCCGAAGGCACCAAUCCAUCUCUGGAAAGUUCCGUGGAUGUCAAGACCAGGUAAGGUUCUUCGCGUUGCAUCGAAUUAAACCACACGCUCCGCUGCUUGUGCGGGCCCCCGUCAAUUCCUUUGAGUUUCAAUCCUGCGAUCGUACUCCCCAGGUGGAUCACUUAACGCUUUCGCUAGGUGACCGACAGUAUAUCGCCGAUCACGAGUGAUCAUCAUUUACGGCGUGGACUAC
rnacentral:misc_RNA from 1 species